rnacentral:lncRNA from 1 species
GAAACCCAUGGCAAAGGGAGCAACCCUAGGAAUAAUCUCCAUGACACCCAAGUAGCAGUUCUUGUCAUAGACAAAGUCCAUAUAUUUAUGCUGCUUCUUUAAUGCUCUCCCAUAAAUAAAUGCUCUCUAUGACAUCAUUUUUCUUUCUAAGCAAUCUCCUGAGAUAGGUAACUGUAACAUUCCUAGCAAAAACAAAAGCAAAAUUUUAUUCUAAUGAAAAGCUAGACAUGAUGAAAUAAUAAAGUCCAUUUAAAGGUAAUAAAUAAAUAUUUACUUAUAAACUUCCUUAGAGUUGUCAGGAAACAUCAUUAAUUUCAGAAUCCUGCAAAUAUCCAGGAAACUGUGAAAUUUUUAAAAAAUAGUGCAAGAAUUCUGUUUAUAUUAAGCAUUUUCUAAGAAGGUAAUUUUUUUUUUCCUAAAUUGUAUAAUCAGUAACAGUUAAACUCUAAACAUUUAAAGGACUAGUUUACAACAUUGUUUUAACUCGUUAUACUCCAAUAC